CGAGUUGGCCAGACAGUUGCCGCGCUCAAUAGAGCGGGGAGGAAAGUCCGGGCUUCAUAGAGCAGGGUACCAGGUAACGCCUGGGCGGUGUGAACCGACGACAAGUGCAGCAGAGAGAAGACCGCCAGUCUUCGGAUUGGUAAGGGUGAAAGGGUGCGGUAAGAGCGCACCGUGCGGCUGGUAACAGUCCGUAGCAAGGUAAACUCUACCCGAAGCAAGACCAAAUAGGGUUCCACUAUUCUUAGGAAUUAAUGCGUGGCUCGCGUUGGAACCGGGUAGGUCGCUUGAGCCUGUGAGCGAUUGCAGGCCUAGAUGAAUAACUGUCCACGACAGGACCCGGCUUAUCGGCCAACUCAACAC
rfam:Shewanella loihica PV-4, complete genome.